GUGGCCUUUUGUUUAAGGCGUUUGGCUAGUAGUCCAAUGGUCGUGGGUUCGAG
rnacentral:tRNA from 1 species